AUGAACUCUGGCGGCGUGCCUCAUCCCUGCCAGUCGAUCGAACUGACGAGAAGCUUGCUUCUCUGAUGUUGGCGGCGGACGGGUGAGUAACACGUGGAUAACCUACCUAUAAGACUGGGAUAACUUCGGGAAACCGGAGCUAAUACCGGAUAAUAUUUUGAACCGCAUGGUUCCAAAGUGAAAGACGGUCUUGCUGUCACUUAUAGAUGGAUCCGCGCUGCAUUAGCUAGUUGGUAAGGUAACGGCUUACCAAGGCAACGAUGCAUAGCCGACCUGAGAGGGUGAUCGGCCACACUGGAACUGAGACACGGUCCAGACUCCUACGGGAGGCAGCAGUAGGGAAUCUUCCGCAAUGGGCGAAAGCCUGACGGAGCAACGCCGCGUGAGUGAUGAAGGUCUUCGGAUCGUAAAACUCUGUUAUUAGGGAAGAACAUAUGUGUAAGUAACUGUGCACAUCUUGACGGUACCUAAUCAGAAAGCCACGGCUAACUACGUG
rnacentral:rRNA from 1 species